GAGUAGAGACAAGGUCUUGCUAUGCUGCCCAGGUUGGUAUUGAACUCCUGGGCUCAAGCGAUCCUUCCACCUCGGCCCCCCAAAGUACUGGGAUUACAGAUUACAGGCAUGAGCCACCUCACUCGGCCUGUUUGAUUUUUACCAUUCGGACAGCACUCAAGGCCUGGUUUGGGUGGCCUCCAUCGACAGCACUGAGCUUCCCUCUACCCCGAGGGUCCCAUGUGCCUCUCGGGUUGAAGCCAUGAGAGAAUCCAGAACCACUCCCACCCCCCAAAAAAAGUCUUGCUCACGGCCAGCUGAGUGCUCUACAGCCCCCAAUCUCUGGCUGUGUCAUAGUGUAGUCACCAAACCAGGACUGUGGGCUGUGUCCGGGUCCUUCCUGUUGAGAGUGACGGCAUGUCACUGCUGGCUUCCCGGAGGAUGAGAGGUUCAACUUCUUUGGUUCGACCCCUAAGAUUCUGUCACACUACCUCUAGCUCAGAGACUCUGCCUGUAUUGAAAAACUGGGAGGCAGUGACUUUUCCUCUUUUUUCCUUUCCGAAAUAGAGGGUACUUGGUAAAUGCUGGGUUUGGAAUAUUGGAAUGAAAUGAAGGCUGCGUAGGCCUCUGGGCAGCCUUUGGUGUUAGAAACAGGCUUCAUUCCGGCUGGACUUGAGUUUUGGUUGAGGAGCUCCUAUAUAGGCAAUGCUCUUCACCAGGAAAGGCUGGUGUCUUUUGAAAAGAGAUCUUUUUUAGUUCAUUUCUUAAAAUCCAGUGCUAUGUGAGAGCCAGUCUGAUCUUGUCUAAAUCUGUACUUUCAUUUUCGGUAGCGCCUAAAAGAGACACAGCAGUCCCUGUUCAACCUCUUUUAGGGAAACCGAGAGCUUGGCUGCUUCUCCAUCCCUUCUCUGCUGUUUUCAACAACAAACCCCCUUUGAUGAAGGACCAUUCUGAGACGGGCAGAGCUGGUUCCCCAUUUAUUUCUCCUCUUUUCCAGGCUCCCCUCUGCCACCUCCUGUAUCUCUUCCAACCUUCCUCCCCCAAAGAAAAACAACCACAAACCAAACUUUGAAGAAACAAGGGAGGCUUGUCCCCAUUGGUGAAAUCCCUUGAAAGGAUGUCACUGAGAAAAGGGUCUCUGUGGCUCUCUUUUUCUGCAAGCAUUGGGAGGUCUCUGAGGAUCUGACCUGGGGGACGGGAAUGCUAAUUAUAUGCACAGAAGCCAUUCAUUAGUUGCCACUAACAAGAAGACCUUGGCAAUGCUCUGAAUUCAGAGGUUUUGAAAGAACCCCAAACUGGGCCUGUGACUUUCUUCAAUCUUGUUUUUGUAAAUUAUGUAUAUAUAUUUCUUCCCUCUCCGGCCUCUGUUCUCCUCUGUUGCCCACAGCAACCUCAGCAGUUGGUACCCGCACAGAGUGGAGAGGGCAGGCCGGGUUACCUCGGUGUCCAGCAAUCGUUACUGAGCAAUUCACCAGAGCCUCACAAAGAAAUAGAUUUUCAGAGGUCUAUCCUAAGAGGUCCAUGUUUUCUGGUACCUGAGCAGACAGGUAUGAGCCACCAACUCCCUGGUUCUUUGAGGCCUUUGUUUACCAACCAUGCUUUGUUAACUCUUUAACAUACUGCCCUGCCAUUCACACUUGCCCCCUAUCACCCGCAUGUCCAGUAGCGGAUAGACAGGCAAGGGGGAGAAUUGAAUGAUUAGCCAAAGGCAGCCCAUGUGGAACAGGCAGUCAGGCAGGUUUUUCCCUUUUCCUCUUUACCAGGAGACAGAGCUUUGUCACAAGGAAGUGCCAAAGUUGUCAUGGAAAUAAAUCAUUAGCUAGAUUGAGCUAUCCUUAAUUUGGGCGGGAGCCUGCCAUUAAUAUGUCUAAAUCUCAGUUUACAAAUGAGCACUUGAUGACUUGAUUCCCGACACUUACUCAUGUGAUUCUUUUGAAUCUCAAUAAGACUUUCUUUCUCAUAGAAUGCCAUACGGCUUCUUGGAACAAAGGACAAAUGGGUAGAAUGCUUGAAACAGACCAAAUCAAAGAUUGUGAUUUUUUUUUUUUUUUCUGAAGGGAAGAAAAAAAUAAAAUU